UACAGAGGUCUCAAGCGUUGUUCGGAUUCAUUGGGCGUAAAGGGUGUGUAGGUGGCUCGCUAAGUCGGGUGUGAAAUUUCGGAGCUUAACUCCGAAACUGCAUUCGAUACUGGCGUGCUUGAGGACUGGAGAGGAGACUGGAAUUCAUGGUGUAGCAGUGAAAUGCGCAGAUGUCAGGAGGAACACCAAUGGCGAAGGCAGCACUCUGGGACGUGACUGACGCUGAGACGCGAAAGCGUGGGGAGCAAACAGG
rnacentral:rRNA from 1 species